UCGGGGGUCGAAAGAUCUCGAGAUUCGCCCGCACUUCGGCCCUCUGGUUCACGUCAUUUGUCUUCCGCUCUUUGACAAUUGAGAUGAUGGAUGUGCUGUACAUGGCCGCAUGGCGUGUACAGGGUGUGAGGAAUCAACACCGAAUUAUUUGCAUAUGUAUCUGCAUCAAAACGAAUUGAGAUCAAACGCAAUAAGGCACACGGCGGAUGCCUUGGCAUCGAGAGGCGAUGAAGGACGUGGUAAGCUGCGAUAAGUCCGGGGGAGUUGCACACGAACUGUGAUCCCGGAAUGUCCGAAUGGGGAAACCC
rnacentral:misc_RNA from 1 species